rnacentral:rRNA from 1 species
AAAAUCAAUUAUAUCUCAACUUACACAUGCAAGCAUCCACACACCCGUGAAAACGCCCUUACCCCCACUUCGGAACAAGGAGCUGGUAUCAGGCACAAUAUUAGCCCAAGACACCUAGCUAUGCCACACCCACAAGGGUAUUCAGCAGUGAUUAACAUUAAAAAUAAACGCCAGUUUGAUUUAGUUAAUGAUAGUAGAGCCGGCCAAUCUGGUGCCAGCCGCCGCGGUUAUACCAGGUGCUCAAAUUGAUAUUAUGCGGCGUAAAGCGUGAUUAAAGAGAUAACCACUGGGGUUAAACUUAAACUGAGUUGUAAAACACCUGUUACAAAGAAACCCUUAUCCGAAAGACACCCCAAACCAACAACUUGA